GAGGAAGAGGGGCGGGACUGGGGCCUGACUAGUCGUCGCCGUCUUCGCGGCUGCUAUGACCAGCGGGCGAGGCGCCCUUCGCAGCUCCGCGCAACGCUAGUCGCGGCCGUGCGCCCGCCGUAGCCGUCUGCGUCCCAGCGCGGCCGCUCCCGCGGCCCCCUCGGCUUUGCCAGCGCCGCCUGCGAGGCGGAGGCAGGAUGAAGAUGACUGUGGAUUUCGAGGAGUGUCUGAAGGACUCGCCCCGCUUCAGCUCGUUGAAGGGGGCACAGCUGUCGAGAGGUACCGGGCUGAGGGCGGAGGACUAGCAGAAAAGUGCAUUUCUGUUUUGAGAACGGAAGUAGGAGGGCCGUGAAGAUUGCCUGUGUGUUCCUCUUCCAGCAGCCUCUGCCCAGGAGGGCCCGGAUCACAGUCGGAUGCUCCCAGUGGAUCUGUCACAGAGUUGACAUGGGGGCACUCCGAUUCACAUGGGUUGCCCUUCUUUCUAUGUGAGAGGCGGUCGUCCUGAGGCCGUCCAGGACACAGGUUCUUUCUGUUUUGAGGAUAGUAGGAAAGUCUUGAGUUGUUUUGGACAAUGGAGU
rnacentral:lncRNA from 1 species